rnacentral:rRNA from 1 species
GUGGGGAAUUUUGGACAAUGGGGGAAACCCUGAUCCAGCGACGCCGCGUGAAGGAUGAAGGCCUUCGGGUUGUAAACUUCUUUUGGAGGGGACGAAUAAAUUGACGGUACCCUCAGAAAAAGCCACGGCUAACUACGUGCCAGCAGCCGCGGUAAUACGUAGGUGGCGAGCGUUACUCGGAAUUACUAGGCGUAAAGCGUAUGUAGGCGGUUGUAUAAGUCUAUGGUGAAAUUUCCUGGCUCAACUGGGAAGGGUCAUAGAUACUGUAUGGCUUGAGUGUUGGAGGGGGAGACGGAAUUCCUGGUGUAGCGGUGAAAUGCGUAGAUAUCAGGAGGAACACCGAUGGCGAAAGCAGUCUCCUGGCCAAAUACUGACGCUGAGGUACGAAAGCUAGGGUAGCAAACAGGAUUAGAAACCCGAGUAGUCC